rnacentral:lncRNA from 1 species
UGAAAACAAAGGAGUGCAUUUGAAAGCUACUUCCUUGGGAAGAAGAAUGAUGAGCAACUUUAUAUGCAGAGGGAAAGAAAGCAGCAGAUGGAGAGGCUGAGGGGAAAAGAAGAGGCAAACAGAUGUACAAUAUUAAGGACGCAAAAGAAAAUGGGAUUCAAAGUAUGGAUCUGUGACAGCAAUUUCUUCUACCAACUUUUGAAAGCACAUGGAAAAGAUAAAUAUAUAGAGAUAUUUUUAAGAAAAUGAUUG